GUUCCUAUGGUCUAGUGGUUAGGACGCUUCAUUGUGGUCGAUUGAAGCUAUCUUGAAGCAGCCCGUGUUCGAUUCACGGUGGGGACA
rnacentral:tRNA from 1 species